rnacentral:rRNA from 2 species
ACGGAAGGCAGCAGUGGGGAAUAUUGCACAAUGGGGGAAACCCUGAUGCAGCGACGCCGCGUGAGUGAAGAAGUAUUUCGGUAUGUAAAGCUCUAUCAGCAGGAAAGAAAAUGACGGUACCUGACUAAGAAGCCCCGGCUAACUACGUGCCAGCAGCCGCGGUAAUACGUAGGGGGCAAGCGUUAUCCGGAUUUACUGGGUGUAAAGGGAACGUAGACGGCUUUGCAAGUCUGAAGUGAAAGCCCGGGGCUCAACCCCGGAACUGCUUUGGAAACUGUAGAGCUAGAGUGCAGGAGAGGUAAGUGGAAUUCCUAGUGUAGCGGUGAAAUGCGUAGAUAUUAGGAGGAACACCAGUGGCGAAGGCGGCUUACUGGACUGUAACUGACGUUGAGGCUCGAAGGCGUGGGGAGCAAACAGGAUUAGAUACCCUGGUA